GUCCCGUCCCAGAUUACGACUCGCUGCGCCUCGGGGGUCUCAUCGUGGCCGGGAUCUUCUUCGUGCUCGGGGUCCUGCUCAUCCUCAGCCGCCACUGCCGCUGCAAGUUCGACCAACAGCCCAAGACGGGGGAGCCGGACGAGGCCGAGGGGCCGCUGCGGCAAUCGAUGAGAC